UCUUUCUUUCUUUCUUUGAACUUCUAAUUUCAUCUUGAAGGAAAAAGAAAACAAAAAACAAAUAUCUGUCGUUAACAUUUUGUUU
rnacentral:ribozyme from 1 species